AUAUAUAAAGUGACAGAUUUCUGAACUGUUUUAUAGAACAUCAGUUUAGUGUGCAGUAAAUAUACAUAUAGCAACUCGUUGAAUUUAGGCUUGAAAAUAUGAAGCCUAUAAAAUUGAUAACCAUCUUUGUGACAAUUGCAGCGUUGCUGGCGACCGCAAUGGCAGAAGAAAAUCCUAUAUCCUCCAAUGCAAUCAAAUCGUUGCAAGGUUGAACAUGAAUAAAUACAAAACCGGUAUACCAAAAAAUCUAAAACAUGAGCAAAUGCAAAAUUGUUAUUCCAACAUGAACGUCCCAAUAAAAUAUUAAUUAUGCAAAUAAGAAA